rnacentral:rRNA from 1 species
AUUGAACGCUGGCGGAAUGCUUUACACAUGCAAGUCGAACGGCAGCACGGACUUCGGUCUGGUGGCGAGUGGCGAACGGGUGAGUAAUGUAUCGGAACGUGCACAGUCGUGGGGGAUAACGUAGUGAAAAUUACGCUAAUACCGCAUACGAUCUAUGGAUGAAAGUGGGGGAUCGCAAGACCUUGCGCGAUGGGAGCGGCCGAUAGAAGAUUAGGUAGUUGGUGGGGUAAAGGCCCACCAAGCCAACGAUCUGUAGCUGGUCUGAGAGGACGACCAGCCAAACUGGAACUGAGACACGGUCCAGACUCCUACGGGAGGCAGCAGUGGGGAAUUUUGGACAAUGGGCGAAAGCCUGAUCCAGCCAUUCCGCGUGCAGGAUGAAGGCCCUCGGGUUGUAAACUGCUUUUGUACAGAACGAAAAGGUUUCUACUAAUACUAGGAGCUCAUGACGGUACUGUAAGAAUAAGCACCGGCUAACUACGUGCCAGCCGCCGCCGUAA